AAUUGACGGGGGCCCGCACAAGCGGUGGAGCAUGUGGUUUAAUUCGAAGCAACGCGAAGAACCCUUACCAGGCCUUGACAUGCAGAGAACUUUUCCAGAGAUGGAUUGGUGCCUUCGGGAACUCUGACACAGGUGCUGCAUGGCUGUCGUCAGCUCGUGUCGUGAGAUGGUUGGGUUAAGUCCCGUAACGAGCGCAACCCUUGUCCUUAGUUACCAGCACGUUAAGGUGGGCACUCUAAGGAGACUGCCGGUGACAAACCGGAGGAAGGGUGGGGAUGACGUCAAGUCAUCAUCGGCCCUUACGGCCUGGGCUACACACGUGCUACAAUGGUCGGUAACAAAGGGUUGCCAAGCCGCGAGGUGGAGCUAAUCCCAUAAAACCGAUCGUAGUCCGGAUCGCAGUCUGCAACUCGACUGCGUGAAGUCGGAAUCGCUAGUAAUCGUGAAUCAGAAUGUCACGGUGAAUACGUUCCCGGGCCUU
rnacentral:rRNA from 1 species